ACCGUUUUUUCCGCAACUUUUUUCUACCGAUCCAUAAAACUUUGUUUUUGUUCAUCAGCAGUGUUGGCAGAAUGUGUGAUUUGAAUGAAUGGGAUGAAUGUUUGAGUGAAUUUAUGUUGCGCACGAGGGGUGCACGGAUGGAAUUUUUAUAGUAUGUUGUUCUUUUUCGGGAUAUUUUCGUUGUCGGCGAAUGUCUGACGGUUAGAAAAGUCCUAGUUUAUGUUUUUGAGUUUCACAUUUAGGAUUAGCGCUUUCUGGAAGGUGUUCUGGGUAGUUAAUCUUAAGGUGAAACAGACCCCCAUUUAAGGUGAGGAUUUGAUGAAUCCGUCGUAGAGACCUGGGGUUAGGAUUACAUUAAAUCUCACCAGAUAGUUAACGUUUUUCACUUCGGUGAUAGUUUUUCGGGAGAAAUCACACCGUGUUUCUUAGUUUUUACACUGAGGUUGGUGUUGAAUUCUUUUUAUAGUUUUUUUUUGUAGUGUGUUUUGUUAUUAUAUUUUGAGAUUUUUUCGAGUUGAUGUAAAUUAAUGAGAUUUUGAAGUAUUUUUUUAAAUGUUAGAAUGUGUUGCCAACAGUCUGAUUUUGUAGUUUCAGUUUAUUUGUUUGAUCAAGACAGUAUCAUUUUUUCUCUUUUUUCCAUUUUCCGAGAGUUGCUUUUUGAAUAUUUUUCUUUUGUAAAUAGUUAUUUUUUGUAAAUAGUAGAUGUAAUUUUGUAGUUUAAGGGAUUUUGUUUUGCUUUUUGUGAUUAUUUUCUGAUUUCUGCUGGAGACCGGAGUUGUAAAACGCUGAUGGUCAGUGGCAGGCAUGAUAAUUCUUUCAUGGCCUGUAAAUAGAGGAUGAGUCAAAUUUUGACGAUGAACACAUAUGACCCCGGAGGUCGGAAGUAAUAACAAAAGCAUUAUCGAAUGACCUUCGAAAAUUUGAUUGGUUUUUGAAUGGUAAUUCAACACCAAUCAAAUUUUCGAAAAUUUAGUGAGGAAUGAUGUGGCGGUACCACGAAUAUUUGAAAUAGAAAAUGAAUUAAUAAAUAAAGUUGUACAGAAUUUGAACUAGUCCAUUGAAUUACCCCCUGUAUAUAGAUCACUCAAGUUGAGUGAAAUCGAAUUAGAGUUCAUGUGUUCAUUUGCUCCACUCCGCAUACCAAAAACAGAAUGAGUGCCCUGUGUAAUUCUGGCGCCGAGCGUAAAGCGACAGCCAAAUCUAAAAUCGAGUCUGUGCUUCGGGCAUCGACCGGGGUUCAAGUAUCGUUGACCCCUCAAUUCUUUUAUUGAUGUUCGGGAGGGAUACGAGUUGAUUGAUCGGGUCUUCAGAGGGAAAUGGAAUGCUUUCUCCGGACGGGUAGAGAAAGUGGUGUGUGUGAAGGCGAUUUUCGACCUUCGCGAAAUUCCACUUCGUGGAUUUCGCGUAAUUUCCGGCGACGAAGAUUUUCAUAUCUCGCGCCUAUUCUGAGGAUCUUAGAACUUGACUCGUCCACUUCGUUCUGGACUGCGGAAGAGGCGAGAUCGGUCCAAGUUUAGUCUACCGCGCCGUGGUGUGAAAGUUCAGUUAGCUUGUUAGGCAAGUUUAGUGCCGUAGUGCGAUUGUGCGAAAGGCGGUUUUUGAGUGCGAGUGUUGAACCUUGGAUGCGACAGGUUCGUGGCAAGUUGCGAGGCCCGUCACACCACACCAUCAAGUUAGCGACCGUUUUCGACCCCGCUUUCCAGCUUCGGAGUUUGGCCCGGCGAUACACGUGGGCCGGAGGGGCAGCGUCCGUCAAUACCGCGCCCUUGGCAGGGCGGCAACAUUCGAGUCCGGUUUCGUAUCGGCAACCAUACCGUGAUACAGUGAAGGAGUGAAGUUUCCGUGAAGAAAAGUUUUUGGAGUGAGCACCGACCGGUUUCGAACCGGAGUCCCCCGCGUGAGGAGCACGCUCGCUACCUCGACGCUACCGCUGGUGACGACCAGCGAGUCGACGGCUGUAUCCCGUCGGAAGACCACGAACCCCGUGUGAGGCGCCGUUGAA